UACGUAGGGUGCAAGCGUUGUCCGGAUUUAUUGGGCGUAAAGAGCUCGUAGGCGGCUUGUUGCGUCGACCGUGAAAACCCGGGGCUCAACUUCGGGCUUGCGGUCGAUACGGGCGGGCUAGAGUUCGGUAGGGGAGACUGGAAUUCCUGGUGUAGCGGUGAAAUGCGCAGAUAUCAGGAGGAACACCGGUGGCGAAGGCGGGUCUCUGGGCCGAUACUGACGCUGAGGUGCGAAAGCGUGGGGAGCAAACAGG
rnacentral:rRNA from 1 species